GACGAACGCUGGCGGCGUGCUUAACACAUGCAAGUCGAACGGAAAGGCCUGCUUUCCCUUGUGGAUUGCGGGUACUCGAGUGGCGAACGGGUGAGUAACACGUGCGUGAUCUGCCCCCAACUUGGGUAUAAGCCUGGGAAACUGGGUCUAAUUCCCGAUAGGACUGCAGGGUGGUGCCGGUGGUGGAAAACGAUUUUCUAGUGGUUGGGGAUGAGCUCGCGGCCUAUCAGCUUGUUGGUGGGGUAAUGGCCUACCAAGGGGGCGACGGGAAGCCGGCCUGGGAGGGUGGACGGCAACAUUGGGACGGAGAUACGGCCCAGACUCCUACGGCAGGCAGCAGUGGGGAAUAUGGCGCAAGGGGCGGAAGCCUGAUGCAGCGACGCCGCGUGGGGGAUGACGGCCUUCGGGUUGUAAACUCCUUUCGACCGCGAGGAAGCCACCUGGUUGGAAGGGUGGUGACGGUAGUGGUAGAAGAAGCACCGGCUAACUACGUG
rnacentral:rRNA from 1 species